AGUGAACGCUGGCGGUAGGCCUAACACAUGCAAGUCGAACGGCAGCACAGUAAGAGCUUGCUCUUACGGGUGGCGAGUGGCGGACGGGUGAGGAAUACAUCGGAAUCUACUUUUUCGUGGGGGAUAACGUAGGGAAACUUACGCUAAUACCGCAUACGACCUACGGGUGAAAGCAGGGGAUCUUCGGACCUUGCGCGAUUGAAUGAGCCGAUGUCGGAUUAGCUAGUUGGCGGGGUAAAGGCCCACCAAGGCGACGAUCCGUAGCUGGUCUGAGAGGAUGAUCAGCGACACUGGAACUGAGACACGGUCCAGACUCCUACGGGAGGCAGCAGUGGGGAAUAUUGGACAAUGGGCGGAAGCCUGAUCCUGCCAUACCGCGUGGGUGAAGAAGGCCUUCGGGUUGUAAAGCCCUUUUGUUGGGAAAGAAAAGCAGCAGGUUAAUACCCCGCUGUUCUGACGGUACCCAAAGAAUAAGCACCGGCUAACUUCGUG
rnacentral:rRNA from 1 species